rnacentral:ncRNA from 1 species
GUGUCAUUUGAAAGUAGAGCAGGUUAGCACUCCCCCUUGACAAGGUUGGAACACAUACCAUGAGAUCAGUGGGCACCACCACUGAUCGUAUGGAACGAGACAUCCAUGAGUAGCCGCUAUGCUCUUUGU